UACGUAGGGACCAAGCGUUGUCCGGAAUCAUUGGGCGUAAAGCGCGCGUAGGUGGCCAUUUAAGUCCGCUGUGAAAGUCAGAGGCUCAACCUUUGAAAGCCGGUGGAUACUGGAUGGCUAGAGUACGGAAGAGGCGAGUGGAAUUCCUGGUGUAGCGGUGGAAUGCGCAGAUAUCAGGAGGAACACCGGUGGCGAAGGCGGUUCUCUGGGCCUGACCUGACGCUGAGGAGCGAAAGCGUGGGGAGCGAACAGG
rnacentral:rRNA from 1 species